UACGUAGGGUGCGAGCGUUAAUCGGAAUUACUGGGCGUAAAGGGUGCGCAGGCGGCGUCGCAAGUCAGGCGUGAAAUCCCCGGGCUUAACCUGGGAACUGCACUUGAAACUACGAUGCUGGAGUAUGGCAGAGGGAGGUGGAAUUCCACGUGUAGCGGUGAAAUGCGUAGAGAUGCGGAGGAACACCGAUGGCGAAGGCAGCCCCCUGGGCCAACACUGACGCUCAGGCACGAAAGCGUGGGGAGCAAACAGG
rnacentral:rRNA from 1 species